GUCCCAAAUCGAUUCCUUUGUGGACGAACCCUAGAGGAGAGGUAUCAGGGAAAAAUGGAGGAGCCGACCGGGGGAUGAGGUGCGGCGCGGAGCGGCGCGGCCGUGGCGUCAAGGCCAUCACGGAUGCACGUAUCAGGAGCCGACCGACGUAUGAGGCACAGCGCAGCCGUGGCGUCCAAGCGGGGAAGGGGGACGAGGCGCAGCCGUGGCGUCCAGCCGGCGCAGGACGAGCCAUUCGGGGAUUGGGACGACGCGCCGCGUGGCCAUGGCGUCCAGGCCCCCGAAGGAUGCGCGCGGACUGAUGGGCGCCAGUGGUGGUCGGCUCCCUCGGCGGCGAGGUGGGAGCGGCCGUGGCGGCCAGGUCGGUGGCAGUAGAGGUUGCUCGAUGCGUUGGCGUGAUGGGUGAAAGGGAGGAGCGACCGUGGCAGCUAGGUGGUUUGCUCCCUUCACGGAUUCAUGCUCCAUGUCUGGCGGUGAAUUUGAACAUUGCAAGAGGGGUUGUUGCAAUUACCUCUCUGUCUCAGUGUCAAGACUUUCCAAAUAAGCUUGUAGAUUGUUGUUUGACAGUGGACCAUUGUUUCCUGCGGAUUAGUGAAGUUAUUAGAUAGUAAUUGUUUUCUUUCUGAGAGGCCAAGAAUUGCUUCCUUUUAUGUACCUUAUCUGUUCCUGUCGCCUUUAUGGCUUUCUGUUCUUGGGAUUUUUCAGUGGAAUCCUUUGGUGUUGUUGGAACACGUGGUAUUUUCA